rnacentral:rRNA from 1 species
AGAACGAACGCUGGCGGCAGGCCUCAAACAUGCAAGUCUAGGGGGUGUAGCAAUACAUCACCGGCGGACGGGUGCGUAACACGUGGGAAUAUACCUUUUGGUUCGGAACAACGCAGGGAAACUUGCGCUAAUACCGAAUGUGCCCUUACGGGGAAAGAUUUAUCGCCAAAGGAUUAGCCCGCGUAGGAUUAGCUAGUUGGUGAGGUAAUGGCUCACCAAGGCUCCGAUCCUUAGCUGUUCUGAGAGGAAGAUCAGCCACACUGGGACUGAGACACGGCCCAGACUCCUACGGGAGGCAGCAGUUGGGAAUCUUGGACAAUGGGGAAACCCUGAUCCAGCCAUGCCGCGUGAGUGAUGAAGGCCUUCGGGUUGUAAAACUCUUUCGACGGGGACGAUAAUGACGGUACCCGUAGAAGAGCUCCGGCUAACUUCGUGCCAGCAGCCGC